GACGAACCGUGCGAACGUUGUUCGGAAUCACUGGGCUUAAAGGGCGCGUAGGCGGACGUCCAAGUCCGGGUGAAAUCCCCCGGCUCAACCGGGGGACUGCCUGGGAUACUGGACGUCUCGAGGGAGGUAGGGGCGCGCGGAACUUCCGGUGGAGCGGUGAAAUGCGUAGAUAUCGUCUGGAACGCCGAAGGUGAAAACAGCUCGCUGGGAUUGUGCUGACGCUGAGACACGAAAGCCAGGGGAGCGAACGGG
rnacentral:rRNA from 1 species